rnacentral:rRNA from 1 species
AUUGAACGCUGGCGGCAGGCCUAACACAUGCAAGUCGAACGAGUGGCGGACGGGUGAGUAAUGUCUGGGAAACUGCCCGAUGGAGGGGGAUAACUACUGAAAACGGUAGCUAAUACCGCAUACCCUCGGAUGUGCCCAGAUGGGAUGAGCUAGGAGGUGGGGUAACAGCUCACCUGGGAGACGAUCCCUCGCUGGUCUGAGAGGAUGACCAGCCACACUGGAACUGAGACACGGUCCAGACUCCGACGGUAGGCAGCAGUGGGGAAUAUUGCACAAUGGGCGCAAGCCUGAUGCAGCCAUGCCGCGUGUAUGAAGAAGGCCUUCGGGUUGUAAAGUACUUUCAGCGAGGAGGCGUUACUCGCAGAAGAAGCACCGGCGAACUCCGUGCCAGCAGCCGCGGUAAUAC